ACUAGCCAUGGAAAAACGCACCACCUCUCUGAAAGCCUUGUCAAAUGUAUGUGUGUUGAGUUGGACCUUCUCCCCCCCUACAAAGUCCCUCCUGGAGCCCCGAAAUGUUUAAGUAUAUGGGUCUAUAAGUCAUAUCAGGUGCGGGAAGAGGGAGAAGAGUGUCCGCUGCUGCUUCUCUUUUUUUUUUACUUAUUCAUUUAUUUAUUUAUUUUUUUAAUCAAGGGUAUAGUACGAAGUGGAAGCGGGUUAGUGGUGAAGGUACAGGUGGGGGAAUAGGAAAGACAGUAGGAGUGUAUAGUUGUAUGGUGUACGUUUGUUAGGUGUAGUUUCGCUUCUUUGGCAACGCUGUGGUCGGUGAAAGUGAAAGUAUCCGUGUCGGUGGAUGCCUCUGCUGGUGUUAGUGUUGGUGAUCGUGGUGAUGUUAGAGGUGGUGUUAGUAGUGGUGUUCCAGUGCCCCUUGGAGUGACAUCAGUGCUUGCUUUGGAUAGAGUGGUCUAGAGUGUCUUGUAUGGAGUGGCUAAUCGUCGACUCAGGAGCGCCGCGCCUACCUGUGUGGUGCGCCUGCCGCCACGGACGCCUGCUGACUGACUGGCCUCUUACAGGGAACUGACUCGCAGCGACACCAACACCCCUUUAUAUACCUUACCCCGGCAACCUACCUGACCUGGUUGGCGGUGGCUCGUGCUGCAGGACUCUCACCUCACCCAAGAAUCAUCUGGUCGGUUCACUGCAUCAGAGGAGGCGAGGAAAAAAGUGCAUGAAAAAGUAUUGCAUCGGGAAAGCAGAGAAAGACAAAAGAUGAAAUGAAAAAAGAGAAGAGAAGUCAUGACGGCCAGCAGAUGAACAGAGAGUGUGCUGUCUCCGGGAUGGCAAUGACAGCGCGGCGAAAUGAGGUGAAUUGUGUACAGGAGGAGAGAGUGUGGUGGCUUGUGUGGAGGCGAUGCACGGCCGGUCAAGCUCAAAACGGAACGAAUAGGCAAAGGAGAGAGAGAAUAUCCAUCGCUCUAUGCACUUAAAUUCCAGGUCAGUCGGGAAACUCAUUAACUGUGCUGUAUAAAUGGGCGACUUCCCUUUUUUCGCUCUUUUCUAAUUUUUUCUGUGUGAUAAGCGAGUCUCCCAUGAAAAGGGGUAUUUUGUUCCAUAUAUGACCCGGCCGUUUUUCUUGCCUGUUGUCCAUUCUUCUUUGCAUCCUCCUCCUCCUCCUCCUCCUCCUCCUCCUCCUCCUGAUCCUCAAAUAUCAAGGGAGUAUGGGAGGUUUUCUCUUGCACGUUUUUUUUCCCAUUUUCUUUUCCUCUCUCACCCCGGUCAAGACAUUCUUCCGUUAGUACAUCGACCUUACUUCCUUCACCAUGAGGAAUCUACGCUCACGUCCCCGAUGACCCAUAACUUCUAAAGCCAAAGAAGAAAUAUGAAAAUGGUCAAAAGUUUAGGUUAUUUACAGUGAAGCGUCCGUUCUUUCUUUUUCACUCUGACUAAAUUCUGUCAUUCAUAAGGUGUGCUAGAUUUUUACAUGGAUUCUAUAAACAGCCAAGUGAGCGUGUAGAGGGUGGGGGUGAGUGCUGAGGUCGUAAUCUAUAAUAGUCACACCCAAACACCCUCCCUUCCUAUCCCCUUCCUCCCUUACCAUCUCCCUCCCUCUCUUCCUUGCAUUCCAAAAUUCUGACAAUCUCAAAUAUUUCCCAGUUAAAAUUUUUACCUUUUUCUCCUCUUUUUUUCUUAUUUGAGCAUUCUUUCCUUCCUUUCUGAG